UACGAAGGGGGCUAGCGUUGCUCGGAAUCACUGGGCGUAAAGCGCACGUAGGCGGAUUGCUAAGUCAGGGGUGAAAUCCUGGAGCUCAACUCCAGAACUGCCUUUGAUACUGGCGAGCUCGAGUCCGGGAGAGGUGAGUGGAACUCCGAGUGUAGAGGUGAAAUUCGUAGAUAUUCGGAAGAACACCAGUGGCGAAGGCGGCUCACUGGUCCGGUACUGACGCUGAGGUGCGAAAGCGUGGGGAGCAAACAGG
rnacentral:rRNA from 1 species